AGAGUUUGAUCAUGGCUCAGAACGUACGCUGGCGGCACGCCUUAUACAUGCAAGUCGAACGAAGUAGCAAUACUUAGUGGCAGACGGGUGAGUAGCAUGUGGGUAUCUUCCCUUUGGUGAGGAAUAACAAGAGGAAACUUUUGCUAAUACCUCAUAAGUCUUUACGGAGAAAGCUUUAUGCGCCAAUGGAUGAGCCCGCACUUGAUUAGUUUGUUGGUGGGGUAAUGGCCUACCAAGACUUUGAUCAAUAGCUGAUUUGAGAGGAUGAUCAGCCACAUUGGGACUGAGACACGGCCCAAACUCCUACGGGAGGCAGCAGUAGGGAAUCUUGCACAAUGGAGGAAACUCUGAUGCAGCGAUGCCGCGUGAGUGAAGAAGGCCUUUGGGUUGUAAAGCUCUUUCGUCGGGGAAGAAAAUGACUGUACCCGAAUAAGAAGGUCCGGCUAACUUCGUGCCAGCAGCCGCGGGUAAUACGAAGGGACCUAGCGUAGUUCGGAAUUACUGGGCUUAAGAGUUCGUAGGUGGUUAAAAAAGUUGGUGGUGAAAUCCCAGAGCUUAACUCUGGAACUGCCAUCAAAACUUUUUAGCUAGAGUU
rnacentral:rRNA from 1 species